AUACGUAGGGGGCUAGCGUUAUCCGGAAUUACUGGGCGUAAAGGGUGCGUAGGUGGUUUCUUAAGUCAGAAGUGAAAGGCUACGGCUCAACCGUAGUAAGCUUUUGAAACUAAGAGACUUGAGUGCAGGAGAGGAGAGUAGAAUUCCUAGUGUAGCGGUGAAAUGCGUAGAUAUUAGGAGGAAUACAAGUUGCGAAGGCGGCUUCCUGGACUCUAACUGACACUGAGGUCCGAAGGCGUGGGGAGCAAACAUGAUGAGAUCCCGUGGUCGUCCACGCCGUAAACGAUGAGUACUAGCUGGCGGGGGUUACCCCCCUCGGUGGCGCAGCUAACGCAUUAAGUACUCCGCCUGGGAAGUACGCUCGCAAGAGUGAAACUCAAAGGAAUUGACGGAG
rnacentral:rRNA from 1 species